rnacentral:siRNA from 1 species
CGAGAAGUCCACUAAACCUUAUC